UUAAUUAUGGUACAUGAAUGCCAUCCGCUUCUUGGAUUUUUGGAGCCAGACAUGGCCUACAGUGGAGCAAUUUUGAGGAAUUUAAACAGGGAGAUGAAAGUGAAAAGAAGAACGAAGAGGAGGUAGUGAGGAGACAAAGUGACCAGGACAACGGAGCAGGUCAACGUUGUACAAUACGAGAAGAUCAAAUCUCAUACAGAUUCCACCCUCGCUGACAUUUACCUGAUAGGAUGAGACAACAGAUGAGGAGGAGGAAGAGGCAGGAAAUGGCA